rnacentral:rRNA from 1 species
GAUGAACGCUGGCGGCGUGCCUAAUACAUGCAAGUCGAGCGAACAGACGAGGAGCUUGCUCCUCUGACGUUAGCGGCGGACGGGUGAGUAACACGUGGAUAACCUACCUAUAAGACUGGGAUAACUUCGGGAAACCGGAGCUAAUACCGGAUAAUAUAUUGAACCGCAUGGUUCAAUAGUGAAAGACGGUUUUGCUGUCACUUAUAGAUGGAUCCGCGCCGCAUUAGCUAGUUGGUAAGGUAACGGCUUACCAAGGCAACGAUGCGUAGCCGACCUGAGAGGGUGAUCGGCCACACUGGAACUGAGACACGGUCCAGACUCCUACGGGAGGCAGCAGUAAGGAAUCUUCCGCAAAGGGCGAAAGCCUGACGGAGCAACGCCGCGUGAGUGAUGAAGGUCUUCGGAUCGUAAAACUCUGUUAUUAGGGAAGAACAAAUGUGUAAGUAACUAUGCACGUCUUGACGGUACCUAAUCAGAAAGCCACGGCUAACUACGUG